UACGUAGGGAGCAAGCGUUGUUCGGAAUUACUGGGCGUAAAGAGUGUGUAGGCGGUGCUCUAAGUUCGGUGUGAAAUCCCCCGGCUUAACUGGGAGGGUGCGCCGGAAACUGGAGUGCUCGAGCGUGGGAGAGGAAAGCGGAAUUCCUGGUGUAGCGGUGAAAUGCGUAGAUAUCAGGAGGAACACCUGCGGUGUAGACGGCUUUCUGGACCAUUGCUGACGCUGAGACACGAAAGCGUGGGUAGCAAACAGG
rnacentral:rRNA from 1 species